rnacentral:tRNA from 1 species
GGGUCGUUAGCUCAGUUGGUAGAGCAGUUGACUUUUAAUCAAUUGGUCGCAGGUUCGAAUUCUGCACGACCUACCA